rnacentral:lncRNA from 1 species
GUAGAAUAGAUAUUAAUUCGUUUUUGAAAGAUAUUGGUAAAAUAUAUUAAUAGUCCAUAUAAUAAAAAAUUCAAGAGGAUGGAUGAGUGAUUUAGUUAUUAAUAGUGAUUAAUUACAGAAUUAUGGUUAGAAUCUGAAGAAUCAGGGGAAAGUAUAUAGGAGUUGUAGAAGUUAAUUAGGAUGCCAGACUGUGAUAGUCAUGAGCCGAGGGCCAUUGGGCCAUUGCUAUGAUAGUUGUGAGCCGGGGUAAGCUUGAUGCUACCACUUUUCUUUUGUUUGUUAUUUUCUUUGAAUAAGAGGAUUGAGAGUUUCUGAAUAGUGUGAAGUGAAUUAUAGAAUGGAAAUGUGAUUGAUAUUAUUUGAGAAGAAAAAAGAUUGAAUGCAGAAAUCUGAUUGUAGUUCAGCAGAGAGAAUGAGUCUGUGUUUGUGUGAAAUAUUGUAAUGUGAAUGGCAGUUCUGUGUGAAGAAUUCCAGUGAUUGGAAUGAGGGUAAUUGUGUGCUGAAAGUUGUGAGGGCACAAUAUUACAGUUGGAGAUUAUGAGGGUGAAUAUAUUAGUGAAAAUAGCAGUUAUUGGUAUGACUGAAUUGCUGUAAGGAAGAGACCGAUAAGGUGAAGGAGGAGAUUAUAGUUUCCUUGUG